CUUUGAUCCUGGCUCAGGAUAAACGCUGGCGGCGCACAUAAGACAUGCAAGUCGAACGAACUUAACCAUUAGUUUACUAUUGGAGCGGUUAGUGGCGGACUGGUGAGUAACACGUAAGCAACCUGCCUAUCAGAGGGGAACAACAGUUAGAAAUGACUGCUAAUACCGCAUAUGCCUUAGAAUCACAUGGUUCAAAAGGGAAAGGAGCAAUCCGCUGAUAGAUGGGCUUGCGUCUGAUUAGCUAGUUGGUGGGGUAACGGCCUACCAAGGCGACGAUCAGUAGCCGAACUGAGAGGUUGAACGGCCACAUUGGGACUGAGAUACGGCCCAGACUCCUACGGGAGGCAGCAGUCGGGAAUAUUGCGCAAUGGAGGAAACUCUGACGCAGUGACGCCGCGUGCAGGAAGAAGGUUUUCGGAUUGUAAACUGCUUUAGACAGGGAAGAACAAAGACAGUACCUGUAGAAUAAGCUCCGGCUAACUACGUGCCAGCAGCCGCGGUAAUACGUAGGGAGCGAGCGUUAUCCGGAUUUAUUGGGUGUAAAGGGUGCGUAGACGGGAAGUCAAGUUAGUUGUGAAAUCCCUCGGCUUAACUGAGGAACUGCAACUAAAACUGAUUUUCUUGAGUACUGGAGAGGAAAGUGGAAUUCCUAGUGUAGCGGUGAAAUGCGUAGAUAUUAGGAGGAACACCGGUGGCGAAGGCGACUUUCUGGACAGAAACUGACGUUGAGGCACGAAAGUGUGGGGAGCAAACAGGAUUAGAUACCCUGGUAGUCCACACCGUAAACGAUGGAUACUAGGUGUAGGGGAUAUUAAAAU
rnacentral:rRNA from 1 species